rnacentral:misc_RNA from 1 species
AAGGCUUGACAUCGCCCGGAAAGCCGUAGAGAUACGGCCCCCCUUGUGGCCGGUGUACAGGUGGUGCAUGGCUGUCGUCAGCUCGUGUCGUGAGAUGUUGGGUUAAGUCCCGCAACGAGCGCAACCCUCGUUCCAUGUUGCCAGCGCGUAAUGGCGGGGACUCAUGGGAGACUGCCGGGGUCAACUCGGAGGAAGGUGGGGAUGACGUUACGGUCUUACU